rnacentral:rRNA from 1 species
UACAGAGGGUGCGAGCGUUGUUCGGAAUUAUUGGGCGUAAAGCGUGCGCAGGCGGUUUUGUAAGCCAGAUGUGAAAUCCCCGGGCUUAACCUGGGAAUGGCAUUUGGGACUGCAAGGCUGGAGUGUGGCAGAGGAGACUGGAAUUCCUGGUGUAGCAGUGAAAUGCGUAGAUAUCAGGAGGAAUACCGAUGGCGAAGGCAGGUCUCUGGGCUGACACUGACGCUCAUGCACGAAAGCGUGGGGAGCAAACAGG